GACGAACGCUGGCGGCGUGCUUAACACAUGCAAGUCGAACGGUAAGGCCCCUUCGGGGGUCCACGAGUGGCGAACGGGUGGGUAACACGUGAGCAACCUGCCCUUGACUCCGGAAUAACAGUGGGAAACAGCGGCUAAUACUGGAUAUUCAUCGUCUCCUUCCUGGGGGGGGGUGGAAAGCUCCGGCGGUCGGGGAUGGGCUCGCGGCCUAUCAGCUUGUUGGUGAGGUAAUGGCUCACCAAGGCUUCGACGGGUAGCCGGCCUGAGAGGGCGACCGGCCACACUGGGACUGAGAUACGGCCCAGACUCCUACGGGAGGCAGCGGUGGGGAAUAUUGCACAAUGGGCGCAAGCCUGAUGCAGCAACGCCGCGUGCGGGAUGACGGCCUUCGGGUUGUAAACCGCUUUCAGUAGGGACGAAGGGUGACUGACGGUACCUACAGAAGAAGGACCGGCUAACUACGUG
rnacentral:rRNA from 1 species